rnacentral:rRNA from 1 species
GGACUACCAGGGUAUCUAAUCCUGUUUGCUACCCACGCUUUCGUGCCUCAGCGUCAGAAAUGGUCCAGCAUGCUGUCUACACCGCAGGUGUUCCUCCUGAUAUCUACGCAUUUCACCGCUACACCAGGAAUUCCGCAUGCCUCUCCCAUCCUCAAGCCUUCCAGUUUUCGGCGCACCCUCCCAGUUGAGCCGGGAGAUUUCACACCAAACUUAGAAGACCGCCUACGCACUCUUUACGCCCAGUAACUCCGAACAACGCUUGCUGCCUACGUAUUACCGCGGCUGCUGGCAC